rnacentral:rRNA from 1 species
UACGUAGGGCGCAAGCGUUAUCCGGAAUUAUUGGGCGUAAAGAGCUCGUAGGCGGUUUGUCGCGUCUGCCGUGAAAGUCCGGGGCUCAACUCCGGAUCUGCGGUGGGUACGGGCAGACUAGAGUGAUGUAGGGGAGACUGGAAUUCCUGGUGUAGCGGUGAAAUGCGCAGAUAUCAGGAGGAACACCGAUGGCGAGGGCAGGUCUCUGGGCAUUAACUGACGCUGAGGAGCGAAAGCAUGGGGAGCGAACAGG